CAGCCGCCGCGGUAACACGUAGGGGGCGAGCGUUGUCCGGAAUUACUGGGCGUAAAGGGCGCGUAGGCGGCCCAAUAAGUCAGAUGUGAAAGUCCUGGGCUUAACCCAGGGAUUGCAUUUGAAACUGUUGGGCUUGAGGACAGGAGAGGAAAGCGGAAUUCCCAGUGUAGCGGUGAAAUGCGUAGAUAUUGGGAGGAACACCAGUGGCGAAGGCGGCUUUCUGGACUGUCCCUGACGCUGAGGCGCGAAAGCCAGGGGAGCGAACGGGAUUAGAUACCCCGGUAGUCCUGGCCGUAAACGAUGGAUACUAGGUGUGGGAGGUAUCGACCCCUUCCGUGCCGCAGCCAACGCAUUAAGUAUCCCGCCUGGGGAGUACGGCCGCAAGGCUGAAACUCAAAGGAAUUGACGGGGGCCCGCACAAGCGGUGGAGCAUGUGGUUUAAUUCGAUGCAACGCGAAGAACCUUACCAGGUCUUGACAUCCCUCUGACGGAUGCAGAGAUGUAUCUUUCCUUCGGGACAGAGGAGACAGGUGGUGCAUGGCC
rnacentral:rRNA from 1 species